rnacentral:rRNA from 1 species
UUUCGCAAUGCCCGAAAGGGUGACGAAGCGACGCCGCGUGUGGGAAGAAGGCCUUCGGGUUGUAAACCACUGUCGGGAGUUAGGAAAUGCAGGUGCGUUAAUAGCGCACUUGCUUGACUAAGGCUCCAGAGGAAGCCACGGCUAACUCUGUGCCAGCAGCCGCGGUAAUACAGAGGCGGCAAGCGUUGUUCGGAAUUAUUGGGCGUAAAGAGCACGUAGGCGGCCUUGCAAGUCAGUUGUGAAAGCCUUCCGCUUAACGGAAGAACGGCAUCUGAUACUACAGGGCUUGAGUACGGGAGGGGAGAGUGGAACUUCUGGUGGAGCGGUGAAAUGCGUAGAUAUCAGAAGGAACGCCGGCGGCGAAAGCGACUCUCUGGUCCGAAACUGACACUGAGUGUGCGAAAGCUAGGGGAGCAAACGGGAUUAGAUACCCCGGUAGUCCUAGCCGUAAACGAUGGGCACUAAGUAGAGGGGUUUU